GAUGAAGAACGCAGCGAAAUGCGAUAAGUAAUGUGAAUCGCAGAAUUCAGUGAAUCAUCGAAUCUUUGAACGCACAUUGCGCCCCGUGGUAUUCCGCGGGGCAUGCCUGUUCGAGCGUCAUUACACCACUCAAGCCUCGCUUGGUAUUGGGCGACGCGGUACGCCGCGCGCCUCAAAUCUUCCGGCUGGUUCGAAUCGUCCCUCAGCGUUGUGGAAACUAUUCGCUAAAGGUGCGCGUUUCGGUCACGCCGUUAAACGAGCCAAUUUCAUUAAAGGUUGACCUCGGAUCAGGUAGGGAUACCCGCUGAACUUAAGCAUAUCAAUAAGCGGAGGA
rnacentral:misc_RNA from 1 species